rnacentral:lncRNA from 1 species
GCAAUUUUGGAAAAUUUUACAAGGUCUCUCUAAUUCGGCUGGGUAAGGAAGUGAAGAGAGUUGAGAGAAAAUGUUCCCAAAUGAAAGAGAUGGAAAGUUUUUGAUUUGGGAAAUUAGAGGUGUUGUCAGGAUGGGUGUUUUUGAGAACUUUUAAAUUCUAAUUUUUGUGUUUUGUUUAAUUUCAGAAGGUCUUGUUGACAUAGAAGCUGACUUGCUGCUAACAUGGAGACAUUGAGGGACAAUUUGGGAAGAGAAAAUGUAAACAUGACAUAGUGCACGAGAACGAUAAUAUUUUCUCCAAUAACAGGGAAAUCUCAUAUUUCAUAUACUUGGGGUUUGAAAAGCAUAUAAUUUUCAAAUCACAGACUGAAAACACAAGUUUCCCAUAAAUAUACUUAAAGCAUGUUUGAUAAUAAUUUUGAAAAAUAAUUUUCGACAAUAGUUAUUUAAAAUUGUUUUUUGUUGUUUAUAACAUAAAAAAAAUAUAUAUAUAAAAAAAACUUGUUUGACAACCUAAAAUAUUUUAAAAAUAAUAUUUAUAUUUAAUAUUUUAUUUUUAAUAAUUUUAUAUAUUUGGAUAAUUACUUUUAAAAAUAACUGUAAAAAAAAUAAGUGAAAACAAGUAAAGAUGUUAUCCGAAAAAAUUAUAUUUUUUAUUUUUAAAAACAUAUAACAUUUUUUCUUAUUCUCAAACAAGUUUUCCUGUUUUUUACGAAGAAAAAAUUAUUGUCAAACAAUCCCUUAGAUACUUGUGUUUUAUUAAGUGGUGAAAUAUCUUCAUAUGAAUUAUAUAGCAACUCAUAAGAGUAGCAGAAAAAGAGACAAUUUUAAAAGCGCAUAUGACAAGUGGAAAUUAUUAUAAAAAAAAAAAAGAGGCUAUUUUAAGAAUGGAUUUGAUGUGUCACAAAGACCACUAAAAUUUGGUGUGAAUAUAUUUAAAUAUAUAUAUAUAUAAGUUUUAAAUUUUGUUGAUUAGCAUAUCUAUAAAAAAAUUUAUUUAUAAAAUUUAAUUUUUAGAGAAAUUUUAGAUAAAAAGAUUUUAUAUCUAUUCAAUCAAAAAUUGAAACAGUAAAUGUAUUUACUCUAAGCUAUGGUGUGUGAAUUAAACCAACCUUCAAAUAAAAAUAGAAAAAAAAAAGUGAAUCAUAAUAAAAAGGAAAGUAGUCAAAAUCAAAAGGAGAAUCAAAUUUGAUUUCCAUAUUAGUGAUUUUUUUAAAAAAAUUCUAUUAUCAUUGUAAAAAAUAAUUCAAAUACAUUAAUAAAUUGAAAAUAAACUUAACUCUUAUUCUCAUUUUUUAUUCCAAUGUUUCAAAUAUAACGUCCAUUUAUUGAUUAGUGUUGCCAAAUCCGAACAAUUGCAUAGCAAUACAAAGAAAUAGAAUUGAGCAUAUAAAACACAAAUUUCUCAAUAAAUAAAACCAUAGCGAAAGUGCAAGUAUAUAAAUAACAUCAAUUUUAUCAUACAAUCUUAGCCAACACUUUUUUUUUUUAUAGUAUCAAAAAGCUACUGAAAAAAAUAUUUCUUAUCACCAAGAAAUUACUUUUUUUAAAUGAAAAAAUUAUUUUCAUUGAAUGAAUACAUAAGUCGUAUUUGGAAUAACUUCUUGUUCUUAAUUUUAAUUAAAAGCUAAAAGUCACAAAUUUUUAAAAAUAAUAUUGAUAUUAUAAAAAAUGUAUUAAACAUAAAAAAAAAACUUUUUAAAUAAGUCAAAAUAAAUCUUUAAAAAAACAUUUUCUUGAUUUUCAUAUUAUGUUAUUUCUUAAGUUAUAAAUUAUUUAAAUAAAAUGAGCGGCAUAAAAAUUUUUAUUGAGCUUUAAAAAUGGUUUUUGACUACUCAAAUCUACCCAAUCGGAACCAUAGUGCCCGAUAACUUGGGGCUAGAAAAAUUGGCAAAAGGAAUUAGGUUAAAGUUCAGUACAUGCUACAUGCAUCUUGUUAAAGGCCAUAAAAGCAAUUCCAUAAUAUAUCACAUUUGGAGUUUUGGAUUUGGGUUUUUGAUCUAAAAUGAGAGAAAUUUUGGGUUGUCGAAAUUGAAAGAUGAGAGAAAGCUUUCAAAUGAGUAAAUUGAAAACUUGCAGAUUGUGUGUGUUUGUGUUUUUUUUUAGAAGUUAUAGACUAAGAUUUUAGUAUUUUUUUUUUCUUAAUUUCAGUGGUUCUGUUGAUAUGGAGGUUGGAAUGAUGCUGAGCUGGAGACACGGAUGGACAAUUUAGGCAUAGAAGAUGGAGCCGGCUCAGAGGGCACAAAAACAAUAAUACUUUUCAUAUUAAAAAUUGAUUUUCAUAUUAAAUUUUAUACAUCUAUUUUAAAACAAUUAAAAUUUUCUACAAUAUUCAAUUAUAAUAUAAGUACUGCCUCUCACGGGUCGAUACUAAUGACGAGUGCAUGAAAUUAUUAUAAAUAUCUCAUGGAAUAAAGAAGAGGAGAGAGAGAGAGAGAGAGAGAGAGAGAGAGGGAGAAGAAGAAGACAACCAAAAAAGAAAAAGAAGACAGCAUUGUAAACAUAGAAAAUGGAAAGUAUUGGAAAUAUUUCAUGAAAUCGGAGUAAACAACAAAACAAAAUAAAGUACUUUUCAUUCCUGUUUCCUACUUCUGUCAUAAAGUAUAAAGUAUGGAUAGAGAUGAGACGAAGGAGGAGAAGGAGGAGCACUCAGCUUUCACCGGUACUGCAGUGUGUUGUGGUGGUGUAGCAUAUGGUAGGAUGUCAUUCUUGCUCCAAAAGUGUGGGCAGAUCCAUUUUUAUUUUCCUUUUUUCAUCUCUGUCCUCACUGAUUCGUUUUGGGUUUCCAUCAAUAUUUAUCAGUGGGCUUGGUGUUAGUCAAAAGCCACCAAUUUUUCUUUCCUUUUUUUUCCCAUAUAUUAGAAUGAAAUGUUGUUGUCCAUUUUAGGGGAAGGCGUUAUGCUGAACUGAACUGUGCGAGGGGAAUGAAAAUUAAUUUAGGGGUUUUCUUCCUCCUCUAUUUUUGGCUCUCUUUCAUGAGGGUACAGAUUGUCUUUUUUUCUCUCGGAGUGUUUGGAUUGUUUCAUUCCAUUUAACUAUUUUUGCAGCAUAUUCCGAGUGUUAUAGGUAUUGGGUAAUCAGUAAUACAGAAAAUGUAAUAUAAUUUUGUACUAUGUAUUUUUGGACUUGGGGUAGGAUGAGUUUAAUUUAUGUAGAUUCAUGUCACUAUUCUCAGCCUUCAAUGCAUUGAUUUCUCCAUAUUUUGAUAUAUAUAUAUACAAACUGCAAUGGGAAUAAAAAGGAUGGUUGUUUCUUCAAGAAUUCUGAGAAAAAAAAAGGGGGUAGGGGGGCAAGAGAGGUUUGAGGAGGCCAUUGGGACUUUUAUCAGUUCUGUGUCUUUUGUUUUCAAGUUGUAAGAAGUCCCUGUUAUGCCAUUUUCUAUGUUGUUUGUGUCCAAUUUUCAGUUGAAAGAGUGGUAGAUUAGAGAAGGAGGAAUGGCUCAGACAUCUGGAUGCAGCUCUGGAGAUGGUAGAUGGUCUCUCAAGGGAAUGACUGCUCUCAUAACUGGUGGAACUAAAGGAAUUGGGUUUGUGAUGUUACCUGUAUUCUGUCUUUGGUUUGGACUACACCUUCCUUCCCAUAUAUAAAUGUAUGUAUCAAUUAUGCAGGCAUGCAAUUGUGGAAGAACUGGCUGGACUAGGAGCAACCAUACACACAUGUUCUAGAAAAGAAACCGAGCUCAAUGAAUGCUUGAAGGAUUGGAAAGCUAAAGGUUUUGGAGUGAGUGGUUCAGUGUGUGAUGUAUCCUCUCGGGCCCAAAGGGAGAAGCUAAUGCAGACUACCUCUUCUGUGUUCAAUGGGAAGUUGAAUAUCCUUGUAAGUUCCCCUAGCCUGUAAAGUUCCAACCUGUGAUCUUACACAUAAUUUGUUGAACUUAUUACAAUUGAGUUCCCCUGCUUGAAUUUUUGUUGGAUUCAAAUCAACAAUGCUGCUAUAAGUAUUCAGAAACCAACAGUAGAGGUCACAGCUGAAGAGUUCUCAACAAUCAUGGCCACAAAUUUUGAAUCUGUGUAUCAUCUGUCCCAAAUCGCACACCCCCUUUUAAAGGCAUCAGGAACCGGAAGCAUUGUAUUCAUCUCCUCUGUUUCCGGCAUAGUGGCACACAAGAAUAUCUCUGCUUAUUCAGUAACCAAAGGUAUUUCAUCACAUGAUCCAUGGUAUAUUCCAAGUGCUAGGAGUAAAUUCCUAUUUACAAGAGCAAUACUGAACAAGAGAAACAUAUAGAAUUUAUAGCGGUUCUCUUCUAAUGCUGUAGCUCCUUGGUACAUCAAAACUCCAAUGGUGGAGCCGGUAAUUUCUAAUUUCCCUUCACAUCAUUUAGUUGCUCGAAUUCCCUUCUUUUUUUCUUGGUCUGGGAAAAUAGAAUAAUUGACUCGUCCUUCCUUCUCUGUCUUUUACAUUCUCUGGGUUCCAGAUGCUCACUAACCAAGCCUUUCUGGAAGAGGUGAUAAAUCGAGCUCCACUUCGUCGUGUGGGAGAUCCAAAGGAGGUGUCAUCUUUGGUAGCAUUCCUCUGCCUACCGGCAUCAUCUUACAUUACUGGACAGAUUAUUUGUGUUGAUGGUGGCAUGACUGUUAAUGGUUUUGAGUCAAACCUGCUCUAGGAACAUCAUAUGUGAUGGUAUUAUAGCCCUAAUUUUGCUGGCAUGUAUGGAGACUCUUUCAAACAUCUUAGCUUCCUCUACUGCUUCCAUGCCUGGAUCCUUUCUUUUUCCUGAAUAAUCUGCUUGUCAUGUCAAAUCUUCAGUUUUUUUGGUGUGGGGUUCCCUUGAAAACCUUGCUGCAUGAUGCUUAUAAUAAUGUUUGGAAAGUUUGCUAAUUUUUAUUUGGGUUCAAAUUUUAAUUUUUCAAAAAGUUUCUUAUUAUUUGAUGAGAUUCUUGUGAAGGGUGUUUUUAUAAGGAUUUUAAUUCCAUACAUUAAUCAUACAUCUUUAAUCUCAAUACCAUUGAAAUAUAUAUCCAAUCCUUUGUUGUUCUUUCAUUUUUUUGUAACUUAAAUGUAGUAGGAUCGGAAAUAUGCAAACACUUUCUACUUUUGACCAUUUGCUUUGCUAAAUUAGACCAACUUUUCAUAAUAGUAUUUCUUCAUUUUCAUUACAAUGAUCAUGCAUGGAUAUGGAAAAACUAAUCGGACUCUAAUGUCGUUCAAAUGCAUUUCAUAGAUCAAUCUUCAUCAUCAUAUCAUAAUUUCCAAAACUUGUUAGAACUUCUAAACUUAGUCAAUAUGUAUAGACAUGAUAUCCUCCAUGAUUUUUUUUACUGGAACGAAAAAAAGUCAUACAUUCUAUACUUGAUCCCUAGAAAAAAAAAAAAAAAAAGUCUUGCAAAAAUAUUAGGGUUGCACAAAGUUUGGUUGUUAGAAUAAGUAAAAAUGAUGUGCAUCAAAAAAUGUCUUUGAGAAUGGCAAAUAUGUGAGAGUGCUUUAAAAACUCAAAUAGCUUCAAAUGAAUUUUAAGGAAAUGAUUCCAACAUAUAUUCAUCUUCUUAUACCUUUCUGUGCUUCUCCACCAUUUGUAACGAUUUCCUCACUCAUUUGUAAUCCUAAUAAACCUUCCGGACUAUUUUAAAAUUUGUCAUUAUAUUUUAAGCUAAGCUCACCAUCUAUAGUAUCAAAAAAAUUUCUCCUUAAUCCAUGUGGGAUAUGUAUAAUGAAUAAUAUUUGCUCAAAGGUUAAAUAUAUGAAAAUAAUUAAGAUUCAAUCACAUAAAAAUUACAUAUAGCAAGUAGGGAUAACAAUUUUGAUACUAAUAUGAUAAAACGACUCAAAAAUUACAUGGAUUUUAGCAGUUUUGGGUUAAGUAUAAUCAUAUUUAUGUUAUAAUUGUGUAAACACAUUUAUUAAACCAAUGAUAUUGGAAUGUGACUAUUCAACUCAUUUAACCCAUUUAUUUAUUUAGAUCAAAACACAUCUAUGAUAUGAUUAUGAGAACUAAUUUAUGAUUGACAUAACCAAUUUAUAACUUAUUAAUUAAUUCAUAUAAAUUUAUUAAUUUUAUAGAUAUUUAAAAAAUAUUAAAAAUUUAAAACACUUUUUCAAUUCUAAAGAUGUCCUAUAAAACACCAAGGAGGUCACCCUUAUUUAUAUGUGAAAUUAGGGAAUUAAAUUUGAAAUAUCUGAUAUUUGAUUACUUAAUUUAAAGAAUUUGAUUUCUUAAUUUCAAUAACUUUUCACCCUCAUUUAAGAAAUUUGCCAACAAUCAAAUGUUUUUUCUAACUUCCUUUUUACUUCAAUUUCCCAAUUUAUUUCUCCUAUUUGGGAAAUCUAUCAAUAAGAAAAUAUUUCUCUCUAAUUCCUUUUUAACUUUAAUUAUUUUAUUUUAUUUUAUAAGACUAGAUUUUGUAACUGUUCAAAUUUUACCGUGUGUUAUUUUUAAAAUUGUAUAUCGCAUGUUCAAUAUAUAGAAUUCAUGACUUAUGAAAUCCAAAUUUUAUUGAACUAAAGAGUUAUAACUUUAGUGACAAAUUUUAUAGUAAUUUAAUCCUUCAUUUAUUUUUAAGCCUACAUAGCUCAACAAGUUGAAUAUAUUUUUAUCGUGUUAAUGGGUUAUCAGUCUUGAUUUAAUUUAAUUUAUCAAAUAGGUUAAAUAAAUGAUUCCCAAUUUGCCACCACAAUAACAAGAGACAACAGACAGAAGGGAAGGGAAACUAAACUACGUAAUGUGACUUUUCCUUUCAUAUUGCUUACUAUACUUGGUGUCUCUUAAUUUGUUUUUAUUCUAAGAUAUUAAUAAUAUGAUUUGAUUGAUUUAUACCCCAUAUAUGUCAUUUGAGGGAUUGAAAAUAUUGCAAAUUCAUAAUUAAAUUUAAAAGAUAAAUAUAUAUAUAUAUAUAUAUGAAUAAAAAAAAUCAUCUUUGUAUAAAAUAAUAAUUAGUAUAUUUUUAUCAUUUUUAUGUUAGAAGUUAAUAGAAAAUAUAUUUUUUAUUUUUCAAUAAUUUAUACAGAAUUAUAAUAAAAAUUGUAUGCUAGAUAAAAUUAUAUUUUAUAAUUUGUAAUAAUUUAAUUAUAUCAAUUUAAUAUUUUGAUAUUCGUCAUAAAUUAUAUAGAAAUAUUGGAGUGCAAAUACUAAACUACAUAAUAACAACAGGACACCUUAUUUAUCCAAAAUUUCAAAUUUUAAAUAAAAAAUAUUAAAAAAAUAAUUUUUAAAUUUAUUAAAUAUUUAUUUUUGUAAAAAAGUAAUUAAUAAAAAUUUUAAAAUUUUAAAUAUGAUUAAUGAGAUUAUUAUGGGGGUAUUUAUUACUAAUAUUUAUUAUUAAAAAAAUAAAAUAACAAUAUGAUAUUAAGAUUAUAUUUUUAUAAAUAUAGCAAAAUGAGAUUAUUCUAAAUUCAGUGAUGAUAACAUUAUAGUAAAAAUAAGGAGUGAUAUAAUUAUAAAUAUUUCACUAAGAGCAUAAAAAAUAAAAAUAAAAUAUGGUAAAUAUAGCGAGUAAUAUUGUUACCAUAAAUAUCUGGUGACACGACGACAGAUAUAUGAGUAAAGAAAAACCUGGGUAUUCUACAUAUAGAGAUUCAGAUACCAUUGCCUAUGUCAUGAAAUCAGAGUCCACAAGAAAACAUAAAAUGCUAUCGAUCCAUCGCUGUUUCUUGCUUCUGUUAUAAAUUAUGGAUACAAACAUAGAUGAAGAUGAGAAGUAGAAGGAGAAGAAACACUUAGCUUUCAAGGAGUGGUAGAGUAGAGGAGGAGACAUGGCUCAGACAUGUGGGUGCAGCUCUGGAGAUGGUAGAUGGUCUCUCAAGGGAAUGACUGCUCUUGUAACCGGUGGAACUAAAGGAAUUGGGUUGGUGUUACCUGUUUUUAUGUCUUUGGGUUUGGACUAUACCUUCCUAUAUAUAAACGUAUGUAUCAAUUCUGCAGGCAUGCAAUUGUGGAGGAACUGGCUGGAUUAGGAGCAACCAUACACACGUGUUCUCGAAAAGAAACCGAGCUCAAUGAAUGCUUAAAGGAUUGGAAAGCUAAAGGUUUUGGAGUGAGUGGUUCAGUGUGUGAUGUAUCCUCUCGGGCCCAAAGGGAGAAGCUAAUGGAGACUGUCUCUUCUGUGUUCAAUGGGAAGCUGAAUAUCCUUGUAAGUUCCUCUAGUCUCUAAGGUUCCUAUCCAUGAUAUUCCACAUACUUUGUCGAACUUCCUACAAUUUGAGUUCCCCUACUUGAUAUAUAUAUAUAUAUAUUUUGGUUCCGGAUUCAGGUCAACAACGCUGCUAUUGUUAUUCAGAAACCAACAGUAGAGGUCAAGGCAGAAGAGUUCUCAACAAUCAUGGCCAUAAAUUUAAUUUGAAUUAUAUUAAAUUUGAUAUUAUAAAUUCCUAAUUAAAUUUUAAAAUAUAUUAAAUUUAUUUGAUAGAAAUAUAUAUAAAUAAAAAAAAAUUAAUAUUUUCAUAUAAUAAAUUAUAUAAAAAUAAUAAUAUUUUUUUAUCAAAAUUGUUUUCAACAAUAUUUCAAAUAUAUAUAUAUAUAAAUUUGGGAAACUUGUGUUUUGCGGUUGCUAUUUAGGAAUUAUAUGGUUUUCGAAACCCUACAAUGGGAAAUAUGAGAAUCAGUUUUUAAUAUGAAAAGUGUUAUCAUUUUUGUGCACUCUGAGUCGGCUCCAUCUUCUAUGCCCAAAUUGUCCCUUCGUGUCUCCACUCACCAUCCUCAACAUCAUCCCAGCCUCCAUGUCAGUACGUAGGACCAUUGAAAUUAAGAAAAAACACUAAAAUCUAAAUUUAUAACUUCUAUAAAAAAAAACACCCCAUAUGCAAGUUUUCAAUUUGCUCAUUUGGAAGCUUUCUUUCAUCUUUCUUCGCUCCCGACAACCCAAAAUUUCUCUCAUUUUAGUUCAGAAACCCAAAUCCAAAACCCCAAAUGUGAUACAUUGUGGAAUUGAUUUCAUGGUCCUUAUCAAGAUGAAUGCACCAUGUACUAAACUUUAACCUAAUUCCUUUUGCCAAUUUUUCUGGCCCUAAGUUACUAGGAACUAUGGUUCCAGUUGGGUGGAUUUUGAGUAGUCAAAAACCAUUUUUAAAGCUCAAUAAAAAAUUUUAUGCCGGUCUGUGGACCCCGUAUUUCUGCCCAUGCACUUUCACUUGAUGGUGAACUCGUUUUUUAUUAGAAAAAAAUAUUUAUUUUUUUUAGAAAAUGACUGGGAGUCGCCACUUAUUUUAAAGGGAAAACAAAAUAAGAAAAAAAACUCUAAGUGCGAUUCCUUAUUUGGAAAAGAUGGUCUGCAAAAAAAAAAAAACCAAAUCUGGGCUCGAGAGUCAGGUUACUUAUUAGGAAGAUACGAUAAAGACCGUAACACCCCUCUAAGCCCCUAAAAUGGGUCUCUACUAAAUAUGAUGAAGCAGACGUGACAAUUAACUAAUAGAUUAAAAGAUACCUAAAUGAUAUUACAAUAGAAGCCAAACAUGUAUAAAGGAUAGUCAAAGUGAGAGUGCGAGCAUACCUUAGCAACAAACACUAAUGUGCUAUCAAGAAUUAGGGUUAGUGCACAAUAAUGAGUACAAAAAUAUGUCACAUGCGUCACUAAAUAGAAUAAGAAAUCACCCAUGGCAAACAUUGCACUUCACUCAAAUUUAUUUAAUUUUAUUAAGAAGACAUCACUAAUGUUGGCCCCUCACCAAAGCCCAAUUUAUUUUUGCAUAAAUCAAUUCCAUAAAUUUCAUCACUUGGAAUUACAAAAUUAAAUCCAUGUUUAUUUUAAAACAUUUUAAAAAUCAAGGAAGAUGUGAAAAUUGCUUGCCCAAGAUAAAUAUUAAUGACAACAAAUUUUAUUGAAAAAAUGGAUUUUUGAUGAACCUAAAAAUUCUAAGGAUGAUAAUUCGAAGAGUUAAAAUAAUUUGAAAAACUAGAAUUUGGAAAAUUAUUUGCAAACUGGGAUUUGAGAGAUUAUUUUUUUUAAAUCAAAGAUGAAGAAAUGGAAAGAAUGACAUGCACAUGGCCCAAAUGUAGCCAUGCUAGGUGCAUAAGUGGGAGAGAUGGUGAGGGAUAACCAUGCAGGAGUGGAGGGAGUCCUACAGCCGGAUUUUGCCUUGGAGCUCCUUAUCUACAGAAUUCUGCCAAUAUUCAUCUUCAAUAUUCUCCACUGAUGAUUCUUUGGUGGAUUGUAAAAAAAAGAUGAUCUUCAGAUAAAAAUUCGGCAGAAUGGUAGAUCCCUUGGGUCAAUAUGUGCUUGAGUAUCAUUUCCAUCAGUACCAUCCACAGUAACUUUUUCGUGUUGCUCUUUAGCAUCCUCUGCUAUCGCAGGUUGACCUCCAAGAAGUACUUCAGAACUGGGCAUCUCUCACCUGUCUCCAAGCUAAUCACACCCUUGUGGACAUGCACACCCUCAGAUAAACCGGGUUUUUUCCUAAGAUCCUCAACAUCUUCUUUUUAUCCCAGUAGAGCCAAAUGCUACACCUUGGACAUGGGCAUUUUCAUCCACAUUAGCACACACUGAAAGACCCUGAUCAUGUUCAAUUGGAACAAAAACAACAGAUUCAGCAUCAAGAUUGAUCAUUUCUUUAUUAUGCAAUGAUUUCAUUUCCUGAUGUAGAUCAGUCUUUGAGGCAUUGAUGAUCUCAGAAGAAGAAAACAACUUUUCUUGCAAAUAGAUAAACUCAUUAAUACCAGAGUCUAAAUUAGAUACAUGUUCCUCUACAUUCAAUUCUUGAGCCUGAGCCAAUCCAUUUGAGUCAAUUGGCAGCAGUAUCUUUCCAUUGGUUCGUCCGGAUUCCCUCUCUAAUUCACAGCCUUCAGACUACUCCAUCUUAUCACUAGUAUUACCAUCAUCAACAUCUUCAAAGAUGCUAUCUCCAACAUUAAAUUGAGAAUCGCAACAUUGUGUUGAGAUAUUAGGAAUGCUUUCCGUAUAUCAUUAUUUCCUUAUAUUAUUUAGUGUUGAGAUAUUAGGAAUGUUUAAAUAUUAGGAAAGUUGAGAUAUUAAGAAUAUUGAGAUAUUAUGAAUAUUGAGAUAUUAGGAAAGUUGAGAUAUUAGGAUAUUAAUUGUUAUUUCCUUAUAUCAUUCUUUCCUUGUAUCAUUCCUUCCCAUUCUUAGAAUGGUGAUUACCCUCUAUAUAUUCUCUGUACAUGAACGAAUGAAAGGAUGAAUGGAAAAAACUACUAUUUAUCAAUUUGAAGAUGGUAUCAGAGUCAUGGAACUGAAAUCCUGGAUAUUUUGUCGCUAUGGUAGUUCGACAGCGAUCAUCCAUCCUAAGACAAGCCCUAAUAUUGAUAAGUCAACCUUCAAAUGCACUCACUUCAAUAAGAUUGAUCCCACCAAUCUGGAUAUCCCACAAUUUCAAAGCAACGACUCUUGGUAUGACCAGGAAAACAAUGAGGAACCGAGGGUUUGAACCAUGGACCUUUAGAUCAUGUUUAGGCUAUCAACACUUUGUUAUUAAUGAUAAUAAUCGUGAUCAACGAAAGAAGGAUUCCAAGAAAACCUCGAUUGCAACUGUUGCCGAAAUAAAAACAGAGGCUAAUGUUGCUGAGAAAGCCUCUGCAUUGGUAGUCGCUACAGAUCAUGGUGGUAAGUUUUUAAAUACUUUUACACCUGUUAUUAAUAGUGCAUGGAUAAUUGAUUUUGGUGCUAUAGAUCAUAUGACUUUUGAUUCAAGACAGGUUUCACCACUUAGACCUUCCUCACAAAAAAUUGUUUCCACAGCCAAUGGUAACACAACCCCAGUCAUUAGGGAAAGAUCCUUAACUCUUACUGAUACUUUGAAUUUGGAUUUUGUUUUAGUUGUUCCAUCUUUAGAUUACAAUCUUUUGUCAGUUUCUCAAAUUACCGCAGCCUUAUCUUGUAUUGUCAUUUUUUGGCCUGAAUUUUGUGUGAUUAAGGACAUCCAAACAAGACAGACGAUUGGUUGUGGUAUUAAGCGGGGAAAACUCUAUUACUUGGACUUGCAGUCAAAGGAUUCAAAUAAGUUGCAACAAGCCUUGAUAGCAGAUGGAUCUGAGGAGGAGAAGAAAAAGUCUGAAAUUUGGUUGUGGCAUCGACGUCUGGGACAUGCUUCCUUUGGCUAUUUAAAAAAAUUGUUUCCUAGUUUUUUUGCAAAGAGUGAUAUUUCUGGUUUCCGUUGUGAUAUUUGUGAAUUGGCUAAAAGCCAUUGUGUUUCGUUUCCGCUAAUUUUGAACAAAAGUCCGUUUCCUUUUAUGGUUAUACAUUCUGAUGUUUGGGGCCCAUCCAAAGUCCCAACUUUGAGUGGCUCACGUUGGUUUGUUACUUUUAUUGAUGAUUGUACCAGAAUGACAUGGUUAUGCUUGAUGAAGACCAAAGAUGAAGUGAACUUGUUGUUUCAAAAUUUUCAUAAAAUGAUUGAAACUCAGUACAAUGCAAAGGUUCGGGUUCUGCGUAGUGAUAAUGGUGGAGAAUAUCAAAGUUCUGAUCUUCAAAAGUAUUUGGAAGGACAUGACAUCAUUCAUCAAACUACUUGUUCCAAUACACCCCAGCAAAAUGGAGUCGCUGAACGGAAAAAUCGACACUUGUUAGAGGUUGUUCGUGCUUUCUUGAUAGCAGCAAAAACACCGAUAUCUUAUUGGGGAGAAGCAAUCACAUUUGGUGCAUACUUGAUCAAUCGGGUACCUUCCAGCUCAAUUAACUUCCAAACACCUCUCCAAGCUCUUACUAAUGUCGUAAUUGCCCCAACUGUCCCAAAUCUACCUCCACGUGUUUUUGGUUGUGUGGCAUUUGUGCAUCUACACAAACACCAACGCACCAAGUUAACUUCUCAUGCAUUGCAAUGUGUGUUUGUUGGAUAUGCAUUACACAAAAAGGGAUAUCGAUGUUACCAUCCUCCAAUACCAUCCUCCAACUCGACAAAUGUAUAUUACAAUGGAUGUGGUGUUUCAUGAAGAUUCGAUGUAUUUUUCAUCUGAGUCUGAACUUCAGGGGGAGUACCAUAAGGAAAUUCAGACUCUCGAUUAUGAUUAUCAUAUCUCUAAGGAGAAUGAAUCUGGAUAAUCUGAACUAGUGAACCAAGAAGCGGGUGAGUUGGAUAUGAGUGGUCAACAAUUUGGGUCCGAAGACGUCUUCACUGAAAUACCAAACCAAUCGUCGUCUGUUGAAGGUGUUCUUAAUUUGGAACCUGAUCCAUUCAUGAAACGGUUACCACACCGUCAUAAUAGAGGUAUUCCUAAACCCACAUAUGAACCUGAAUUGUCUACCAAAGUCAAAUAUCCCAUGAGCAACUAUGUGUCUAACCAUCGUUUGUCUGAAUCAAAUAAGUCAUUUGUAAAUCAAUUAUCUACUGUAGCUAUUCCUAACAGUGUGCAGGAAGCCUUAGUUGAUCCAAGAUGGAAAGCAGCCAUGAAUGAAGAGAUGAAAUCAUUGCAGAAGAAUGAAACAUGGGAACUCGUAGAAUGUCCACCAGAAAAGAAGCUAGUUGGGUGUCGUUGGAUCUAUACUGUGAAGUACAAGGCAGAUGGUAGUAUUGAACGAUUUAAAGCAAGACUGGUAGCAAAAGGGUACACUCAAACUUAUGGAAUUGACUACACAUAGACAUUUGCACCUGUAGCUAAGAUCAACACAGUUCGAUUAUUACUGUCUUUAGCUGCAAACCUAGAUUGGCCAUUACAACAGUUCGAUGUGAAAAAUGCCUUUUUGCAUGGCUAGUUAUCUGAAGAAGUAUAUAUGGAUCUUCCACCAGGAUGCAUGGUGUCAGAAAAGCAAUGUCAGAAGGUGUGCAAAUUGAAGAAGUCAUUGUAUGGGUUGAAGCAAUCCCCGAGAGCAUGGUUUGGAAGGUUCACAAAGUCAAUGAGAGCUUUUGGCUAUCGUCAAAGUAAUUCAGAUCAUACUUUGUUCCUGAAAAAGCAACAUGGUAAGAUUACCGCACUCAUCGUAUAUGUGGAUGACAUGGUAGUUACAGGAAAUGAUCCUGAAGAAAGAAAAGCUCUGCAAAAUUAUCUAUCUAGAGAAUUCGAAAUGAAAGAUCUAGGUCCUCUGAAAUACUUUCUUGGGAUUGAAGUUUCUCGAUCAAGUGAAGGAAUUUUUCUGUCUCAAAGAAAGUAUGCCUUAGAUCUUUUACAGGAGACUGGAAUGUCGGGAUGUCAACCUGUUCAUACACCAAUAGAAGAAGGUCUGAAAUUGUGUGUUAAGCCUAAUCAAGUAUCAACCGAUAAGGGAAGAUACCAGAGACUUGUGGGGAGAUUAAUGUACUUAGCUCAUACAAGACCAGAUCUUGCUUAUGCAUUGAGUGUAGUGAGUCAAUACAUGCAUAAUCCUGGAGAGCAACAUAUGAAUGCAGUUAUGCGUAUUUUGAGGUAUUUGAAGAAUGCUCCUGGGAAGGGAAUUUUGUUCGCUAAAAAUGUUAAUCAUCAGAGUAUAGAAGUAUAUACUGAUGCUGAUUGGGCCGAUGCAGUGGAUGAUAGGCGAUCUACAUCUAGAUACUUUACCUUUGUAGGUGGUAAUCUUGUGACAUGGAAAAGUAAGAAGCAGAAUGUCGUCGCUCGUUCAAGUGCAGAAGCAGAAUUUAGAGGUAUGACUCUAGGACUUUGUGAGGCAUUAUGGCUAAAACUUCUCUUACAGGAUUUAGGUUACCUAUCUAGGCAACCAAUACGAUUGUUUUGUGACAAUAAAGCCGCAUGUGACAUUGCUCAUAAUCCAGUACAACAUGAUCGUACAAAGCAUGUCGAGGUGGAUAGAUUCUUCAUUAAGGAAAAGUUGGAUGAUAAGAUUGUGGAAUUGCCUAAGAUUUGAUCAGAAGAUCAAUUGGCCGAUAUCCUCACCAAAGUUGUCUCAAGUCAAGUGUUCUCAAAAUUUUUAGACAAGUUGGGCAUGUGUGACAUCUAUGCACCAACUUGAGGGGGAGUGUUGAGAUAUUAGGAAUGUUUUCCGUAUAUCAUUAUUUCCUUAUAUUAUUUAGUGUUGAGAUAUUAGGAAUGUUUAAAUAUUAGGAAAGUUGAGAUAUUAAGAAUAUUGAGAUAUUAGGAUAUUAGUUGUUAUUUCCUUAUAUCAUUCUUUCCUUAUAUCAUUCCUUCCCAUUCUUAGAAUGGUGAUUACCCUCUAUAUAUUCUCUGUACAUGAACGAAUGAAAGUAUGAAUGGAAAAAACUACUAUUUAUCAAUUUGAAGACAUUGAUACUCAAAAGGACGUUCCCAUGCAUCCAUUGCAGUAUUUAAAUCCCAAUGUGAUCGAUCAUCUUGCAAUGAUGACUCAUGUGUUCUAGUUGUUUCAUCAUAUUUAUUUUUUAAAAGAUCUACGACACAGUCACAUGAGAAUCUGGCAAAAAUGUGGCAACAAGUUUUUUUUCGAGCUCUGUGGAAGAACAGGAACCAACUUCUUUAGUAGAAAUUUUAGCAGAACUCAUAAGGUCUUCCAUGGGAAAUCCCUUUGGCAAUGAGCAUAAUUCAUUAUUCACCAAAACAUCAAGAGAACCCUCAUGUGGAGAAGAUUUUCCAUCUCGGGAAACUCCUCCUCAAAACCACAUUCUCCUCCUAUGCUGCUACUGCAUGCAGUAGCCGCAAAUAGGCUGAAGAUGGAAACAGUGUCUUUUGGACUUGAGUUGGAUUGUUGAUCAUUCUCUGGAAGUGGGUUAUGAUCAGAAAUUUGAAUGGAGCGAAGUUCUAGUCCUUCCAUGGAAGAACGUAGAUUAAACUAGGGCCGCUUUCCUUUCCUGUUAUGUUAUCUUCUAUUUCUUGCUUAUCUUUUCAGCUAAGGCCCACCAACUAUCUUCACCCUUCCUUCGUCCCGCUUCCUCCACUUCUUUCUUUUCUUCUAUUCUCACUGCCACUACAGAAGCUGGAUGGAUUCAGAAUGUCCACUAAGAGUUCUCAUAUGGUCUUCGGAAAGGCUACCUUAAUUCAGAUUUCCUUAUUCACGUGCCUGAAUGCUACAUACUUGAAGUCACCUGGAUUUCUCCUCUGUUUGUCACCAAGUUCGUAAUAUUUGUACCGAUGUUAGGAUCACGUGUUGCGCUUUUGGCACAUCUGAAAGUCAUCGUUACUCCAUGCCAGACACUCAAAUUGUUCUCAAGCUUGGACCUGAAAUGGAGAGCCGUUCUAAAGAGACCAUGUCGUGGUGGCUUGAUCCAUAUUUCUCGAAAGUCGUUGCAAACAGCAUGAUGCCAAACAGACAUGGCGGUCACGAGGAGAUGGGUUAGGAGGAUGAGUUUGAAUGGAAAAGGUGGAGAAAGAAGUGGGUUUUAUAGGGAUAGAGGUUGAAUGGAGCUAUGGGUAGUAAGAGAAGUGGGUUUGGUGGUGGAAUGGAAGAUGGGGAUAUGGAGAUUGGGAAAAUGAAGGUUAGUAGGAUGGUGAGCUGGUUUGAUUCACGCAGGUGCAACAUGCAUGGGGUGCAGAGGCCAAGAAACAGGUGUAGUGUGAUUUCCUUUGCUAGGGAACCAGGCAAUUUAACGGAAGAGGUAAUCCCAUGUCGACAUAGAGGGCAUGGAAUAGACCCAGGUGGGCCCACCAUGGCAGCUUUGAGUUAGUCUAAGCUAAACUCGGUGAAGCUAGGCAGCAAGUUCCAGUCAGCUUUACCCCCAUUCUUGAUAUCAAAGAGCAUGUGUGCAACAACACUUAGGUGGGCUGUAAUCUCAUUGUUGUAUAGUUCUUUAGAUAACCAGUUCAUAAUAAGCUCAUGUAUUGUGAUACUGUACAAUUAGCAUAGUGUAACGCCCAAGUUUCUUUUUAGGAAAAUAUUAUUAAUAAUAAUAAUUAAUUAAUUAAUUAAUUAAUUUAAUAAAAUGUAAGAGGGGUGAAAAUGUAAUUUUACGAAUAAAUACCCUAGGUAUAAUUGUAUAAAUUAGAAUUUUGUUCUUCCUGUUCUUUUCUGAAUCGUGUUCCUAUUCGCAGAGAAUUCCUGAAAACGUAAGAUUGAAGUCGGAUUUCAGGGUUUAAAGAACAUAUCUCUAUAGGUAAGAUUCUAAACCCUGUAUUAAUAUUUUAGAUUCAUUAGUUAAUUUUAAGCAUAUUAGAUAUUUUUUGGAAAACCCAAAUCUAGAUUAGGGUUAGUUUUUUUUUUUAAUUCAUUUUAAUAUCAAAAGAGUGAAAAUUUAAGAUUUUGAUUUAUUGUUGGAAAUUGGGAAAUCUUAGGUUUUUAGAUGAAAAAAAAAUAUUUGGAAGAUUUCGAUUUAGACUAGGGUUAAUUUAUUUUUUAAAAAAUAAAUAAAUAAAUAUAUUGUUAAUUGUGGCUUAAGGGAUUAGAAAAAUAUUAAAACAAUUUGAUUUAACAAAAAAAACGCGUGUGCACUGGAAGAUAGAAAAUUUGUGGAAAAAAAAAAUUGUUGCCUGCGUGGGAACUGGUUAGUUUUAGGUUAAUAAAUAAGAUAUAGUAAUAAUGGUUGAAUGUAAUAAAUAGAAUGAGGUAGUUGCAAGGGGUGCAAUCCAUGUGUGCUGGAAGCAUGACUCAAAAAGUACACCAGCCUAAGAAAUAAAAAUAAAUAAAAAAAUAAAGCUUGAAAUAGCCAAGACAUUGUUACUACUUAAAUAACUAAUGAACUACUCCAAAGAAACUUCUCUUACAUGUAGAAAUGUCAACAAUAAAUAUAUAUAUAUAUAUAUAUAUAUAUAUAUAUUGUAGAAUUUUAUAAUGAAAUAAAAGUGCAUUUUAAUUAAAUUAGUAAUGAGUUAUUAGAAACAAAUUGGGAAUUUAUUAAUUUAUUUAAAUAAGGAAUAUAUUAGUUAAAUUAUAGAUAAAUAGUAAUAGUUAUUUCUCUUAUGUUAUAUUAGGUGAAGAUUAGAUUUUCCAGAAUUACUUUUCUCCCAAGUUUUCAAGGACUUCUUUUGAGGUAAGGGAAAUUAAUGCAGUUAUUAUUAUUUUUUUAGAAAUAAAUUUUUAUAUACAUCAUUUGGAAAUAUUUUGAAUUAAUAUUCGUUUUAUGCAUCGAUAAAAUAUGUUUUGUAUGAAUAGUAUGUUAGAACUUUAUAUUUUGUUUACAAUAAAGAAAUGUGGAGAUAUUAUGUUUUGCAAAUUCGAAUAAUUGAAAUAAGUGUUUGACUCUGGUUUGUUUGGCCCUUGUCAACGGGAUAUAAUAGUUGACCUUUACAUUUCUUGGUGGGGAAUGUAAUUGAUUUGGAUCCCAACCUCUAAGGGUUUGGUUAUAGGUUACUAGUACUAGUAGUGUUUGGUUCCGUUCACCUUAAAGGAACAAUUUGAGGCUAGCCACCUAUUCGAAAAGUCUCACCUAAUUGGGCACCAUUUGAUGUUUGAUGAUCAGAGUAAAUAAAUAAUUUGAAUGUUUUGAUCGAAUUUGAUAUGAAAAUGCUUGAAUCAGAAAUGAAAGUGUACAAUUAAAAGUUUUGAAUGAAUUGGCAAAACUGACUCGAAGGUUUAUAAAAAUAAUUAGUUAUAAUAUCUCCUAUUUUGCAAGUGAACUUGAAAUAUUUGAUCCAUGAACUGCAUUAAUGUUCCUUAUUGGGCUUUGAGCUCAUUCCUAUUUGUUGAUUACUUUUUAGGCAGCCUUAGUUCGAGCGAGGAGUGAUGGCUAGAUCAGGGAAUGGUCAUCAUUAGGAUUUUGAUUAGGAUGUUAUUUGGACAUUGUUAGCUUAUAAGUUUAUGUUCAUUUGGAUUAUUUGGUUUUUGGAAGCUAUUUAGAUAUUGAGCUUUUAAAUAUAUUUUUUGAUAAGUUUGAAGUUGAGAUUUGGAGAUUAUGAAAAUUUGUUAGCACUUGAUUUAUUUGAGUUUGCAAUCUAUUUGGAUAAUGGAUUUUGGUUGAUGGAUGCUUAGUUUUAAAGUUAUGUUCGAAGAUUUUAGAAUUUUGUUCCGCUACUCUGAACAGGGUUUUGGUAAUUGAUUACUUCCAAUUACAAUAUGAUUGUUUGGGUCAAGUUACACUUUAAGCCUUUAGGUUUGAGGUGUGAAAUGACCAUCAUGCCCUUGGAAUGGGUCUUGGGGCAUGACAAAGUGGUAUCAAAGCGCUAGGUUGUGAUCUUGAUGGGAACUUGUUUAGUUUACCUUUGGGAAUAGAUGAGUGACGCAUUAGUUUGAGUUUCAACUUCAUCUAGUCCGAUUCUUUUUAUUCUUUACAAUUUUGAUUUGUUUAUUUGGCUUCUUAGUGACUAAUUUAGUUAUACCUGUUGCUUUAUAGGACACCAUGCCACCAAGAAGACCUACAUCUUCCCAAAACAGUCAGGCUAAUGAUGAUAUACCUCCUCCAUAUGAGGUUUUGCCCCCUAUGAGUAUUGAAGGGCUUCUUAGAUACUUAGGGACUUUGGCUGGCUUAGUUGAGCGUCAGGCUAGAGCUAUUGGAAGUAAUGGUCAAGGACAAUCCUCAUCUACUAGGAGUAGCUCCUUUGACGACGUUAAAAAGUUGGGUCCCCCCUACUUUUCUGGUAUUUCAGAUCCAACAGAGGUAGAGGCUUGGAUUAUGAAAAUAGAGAAAUUCUUUGAUGUCAUUGAUUGUUUUGAUGAGCAAAAAGCCUCUUAUGAAGCAUUUAUAUUAGACAAAGAGGCAGACCAUUGGUGGCGCAUGACUAAGAGGCUUUUGGAAAAUCAGAGGCCUAUUGUUUGGAGUUAGUUUAGGGAGGUUUUUUAUAAGAAGUACUUUCAUGACAGUGUUCGAUGACAAAAGGUGGGAGAGCUUUCCCGUUUGGAACAGGGGAAUUUGAUUAUGGCCCAGUAUGAGGCUAAGUUUAUCAAACUAUCACGUUUUGCCCCACAGUUGAUUGCUACAAAUGAGGAAAAAGUAGUUAAGUUUCAGGAUGGACUGAAGUCUUAUCUGAAAAAUAAGAUAUCAAUUCUGAAGCUUAGUGUUUAUUCAGAGGUGGUGGACAGAGCCCUUAUUGCAGAUAAGGAUAAUGAAGAGCUUCACCAGUAUAGGGAACAACAAAGGAAGAGGAAUAGAAAUGAUGGUGCUCAUGGUAACCAAACAUAGAAAAUGUCUGCUCCAAGUAGAAAUCAGAAUAAAGGAAAAGCAACACAAAAUUUAGAUGAGAUUUGUCCUACUUGUGGCAAAAAGCACGGGGGUAGGUCAUGCUAUAGAGAGACAAAAGGUAGCUUUGGUUGUGGAAAACAAGGACAUAUGGUUCGGGAUUGUCCAGAAAGUAAGAAGUUUGUAUUUGGGAAGCCUAAUGAGGAGAAUAAAGAGGAUAGACAGAAACCUAGGGCUCAAGGGCAAGUAUUUUCUAUGACUCAUAGAGAUGCUCAAGCUACUUCUAAUGUAGUGACAGGUACUCUUCAAAUUCACACCUUAUUUGUUAGAGCCUUAAUUGAUCCCGGUUCAACCCACUCUUUUGUUUUUGUAUCUUUUGCUGGUUUGUUGGGUAUGCCGAUUGAUAACAUGGACUUUGAUUUAUUUGUUGCUACUUUGUUGGGAGAUUUUGUUGUGUUUAAUAAAAUACUUAGAGAUUGUUGUGUGAUGAUUGGGUAUAGAGAGAUGAUAGUUGACUUAGUACUUCUUGACCUCUAAGAUUUUGAUGUGAUUUUGGGAAUGGAUUGGUUAACUUCAUACCAUGCAUCUGUUGAUUGUUUUGGGAAAAGAGUGACAUUUAGCAUUCCUGGUCAGCCUGAUUUUAGUUUUGAGGGGAAGCAUGUGGACAAACCACUACGUAUGAUCUCAGUUUUGCGAGCUAGUUCUUUGCUCAAGAAAGGUUGUCAAGGUUUUUUGAGUUAUGUUGUGAAUGAGGAAAAUGAUUUAAAGUUGGAAGACAUACCCAUUGUAAAAGACUAUCUUGAUGUCUUUCCAAAGGAUCUACUUGGUUUGCCACCAGAGAGGGAGGUGGAGUUCACCAUUGAUGUGACACUAGGGACAACUCCUAUCUCUAAGGUCCCUUACAGGAUGGCUCCUUUAGAGCUUAAGGAAUUGAAGAUUCAACUUCAGGAGUUGUUAGAUAAGAGCUUCAUUAGGCCUAGUGUUUCACCUUGGGGAGCUCCUGUUUUAUUUAUAAAAAAGAAAUAUGGAUUUAUGAGACUCUCCAUUGAUUAUAGGGAGCUGAAUAAGGUGACAGUGAGAAACAAAUAUCCCCUUCCUCGGAUUGAUGAUUUGUUUGAUCAACUUCAGGGUGCAUGUGUGUUCUCUAAAAUUGAUCUUCGGUCUAGUUAUCAUCAGUUAAGGAUUAGAAGUGAAGAUGUACCUAAGACUGCUUUUCAAACUAGAUAUGGGCAUUAUGAGUUUUUGGUUAUGCCUUUUGGUUUAAUUAAUGCACCUACUGCUUUUAUAGACUUAAUGAAUAGGGUAUUCAAGCCCUAUCUAGAUUAGUUUGUGGUAGUUUUUAUAGAUGAUAUUUUGGUGUACUCAAAGAGUAGUGAAGAGCAUGAGCGCCAUUUGAGUAUUGUAUUGCAGACUCUCAGAGAUAAAUAAUUGUAUGCUAAACUAAAGAAGUGUAAGUUCUGGUUAGACAAAGUCUCUUUCCUUGGGCAUGUGGUGACCAAGGAUGACAUCUUUGUUGACCUUGGAAAGGUAGAUGUCGUGUCAAGUUGGAGAAAACCUAAUGCUGUGAUCGAAAUUCGAAGUUUCUUAGGACUGGCUGGUUAUUAUAGGCGAUUUAUUGAGGAGUUCUCUAAGAUUGCCCUACCUCUAACCAGGUUGACUCAGAAAAGGGUUAAGUUUUGAGUGGUCUAAUGAUUGUGAACGUAGUUUCCAAGAGUUAAAGAACAUAUUAGCGACAACUCCUAUUUUGACUAUCAUUUCAAGCUUAGGAGGGUUUAUGGUGUAUAGUGAUGUCUCUCGUCAGGCUUUGGGUUAUGUUCUUAUGCAACAUGGGAAAGUUUUAGUUUAUGCUUCUAAACAAUUGAAGCCUUAUGAAAAAAAUUAUCCUACUCAUGAUUUGGAAUUAGCUACAGUGGUUUUUGCACUUAAGAUCUGGAGACAUUUUCUUUUUUGUGAAACUUGUGAGAUAUUCACAGAUCAUAAGAGUUUGAAGUAUUUAUUUUCCCAAAAGGAAUUGAACAUGAGACAAAGGAGGUGGAUUGAACUACUUAAAGACUAUGACUACAUUAUUCAGUAUCACCCAAGGAAGGCGAAUGUUGUGGCUAACGCCUUGAGUAGGAAAUCUGUUGGUUCCUUAGCAGUUAUUAGAGGUUGUCAGAGGCAAUGCUUGGAAUAUUUGACGAGUUUACAAGUCCAUAUGAGAGUUUUGGAUUCGAGAGCUCUUGUGGCAAACUUUAGAGUACAACCAGACUUAGUUGGGAGAAUUAAGGCCCUACAAAAGAACGAUUUGAAUUUAGUGCAAGUUAUAGAAGAGGUUAAAAAUGGCAGUAAGCCUGACUUUGUUUUAUCAGAUGAUGGAAUUUUGAGGUUGGGCUAGACUGUGUGUCCCAAAUGAUGGAGACUUAAAGAUAGAGUUUUUAGAGAAAGCUCAUUCUUCUAAGCUUUCGAUCCACCCAGGAGGGACAAAAAUGUACAAAGAUUUGAAACAGAAUUAUUGGUGGUCAGGUAUAAAACGAGAUAUUGCGCAAUUUGUGGCUCAAUGUUUGGUGUGUCAACAAGUGAAAGUUGAGCAUCAACGACAAGCAGGGUUUUUGCAACCACUUUCUAUUCCCGAGUGGAAAUGGGAACAUAUUACUAUGGAUUUUGUGAGAAGGUUACCAAGGACCUUAGGGGGCAAUAAUGCAAUUUAGGCGAUUGUUGAUCGAUUGACAAAGUCUGCUCAUUUUUUGCCUAUGAAAGUCAAUUUUUCUAUGGAUUGUUUGGCUUCUCUUUAUAUUAAGGAGAUUGUGAGAAUGCAUGAUGUACCUAUUUCUAUAGUAUCUGACAAAGAUCCUCGUUUCACUUCUAGAUUUUGGCAUAGUUUACAGAAAGCAUUAGGUACUAAGUUGAGUUUUAGUACUGCUUUUCAUCCGCGAACUGAUGGUCAAUCAGAGAGUGUAAUUCAGGUCUUGGAAGAUUUGUUAAGAGAUUGUGCUUUGGACCUAAAAGGUAAUUGGGAUGAUUAUUUGCCCGUAGUGGAGUUUGCCUAUAAUAAUAACUUUCAAGCUAGCAUUGGGAUGGCACCUUUUGAGGCUUUGUAUGGUAGGAGAUGUUGAUCUCCUGUUUGUCGGGAUGAUGUUGGAGAGAAGAAAAUUUUGGGGCCUGAACUUGUGCAAUUGACUGUUGAAAAGGUCUCUUUAAUUAAGAAAAGAUUAAAAGUAGCACAAAGUAGAUAGAAGAGUUAUGCUGAUAAUCGCAGACGAGAUUUGGAGUUUAAGGUGGGUGAUAAUGUUUUCUUGAAAGUUUCACCUAUGAAGUCUAUAAUGAGAUUUGGAAUAAAAGGGAAACUUAGUCCUCAUUUUAUGGGACCAUUUGAGGUAUUAGAAAGAGUAGGCACUUUGGCUUAUAAAGUGGCCUUACCCCCAAGUCUAUCUAAGAUUCAUAAUGUAUUCCAUGUUUCGACUUUGAGGAAAUAUAUUUAUGAUCCCUCUCAUGUUGUGGAGUUGGAGCCUAUUCAAAUUUCUGAGGACUUGACCUAUGAAGAGGUACUCGUUCAAAUUGUGGAUGUGAUGGAUAAGGUAAUACGACAUGCUGUUGUCAAGUUGGUAAAGGUCUAGUGGAGCAAUCAUAGUAUCCGAGAGGCCACUUGGGAGUUAGAAGAAGAGAUGAGAGAAAAACAUCCUCAAUUAUUUCAAGACUCAGGUAUGUCAAGUUUAGAGGACUAAACUUUUGUUAAGGAGAGGAGGAUGUUACGCCAGCCCAAGUUUCUUUUUAGGAAAAUAUUAUUAAUAAUAAUAUUAAUGUAGACCCUCAAUUUUGUCCCUCGACACUGGCAUUUAUCCUUCGGGUGUCACAUCCACCCAUCGUUCGCAUAUAGCACCACUUGGGUCCCUUUUGGGCUUAGUCGGUGUCCGAGCCUCAUGUGGGUUUGUGUGUGGUCCAUUGUGGUGCAUAUGUGGUUCAUUUCGGAGGGUCACCAUGGCCAUUUUCCUAGUCGUUCACAUCACGCUAUAGGAAGGAAGUGGGUCAUCCCGAUGUUUUAGCUUAGUUGGGGUUUAUAGGGGCAUGUUGAGGUUCGGAGCACUCGGGCUUGUUUUGAUUGUAUCUCCCUCAUCCAAAAUUGGAAUCAAGAACCGUUUCUUUUUAUGGAUUCCUUAUUCUUCUAGGAACAUUCUGUAAAAUUUUCAAAUUUUUUUGCAACCGGUCGGCUGGUUGGCAGCCGGUUCAGCCGGUUCAUCGAGUCAGCCGGUGUAGAACACUGAUUUUUGGUAAUUGUUUUGAUCAUAUCUCCCUCUUCCAAACUUGGAAUCAUGCAACGUUUUUUUUAAUGGAUUCCUUACUCUACUAGGAACAUUCUGUCAAAUUUUCAGAAUUUUUUUCCAUCGGUUCGACCAGUUGGCAUCCGGUUCGGCCGGUUCGGCCGGUUCAUUGAGUCAGCUGAGGUAAAACACUAAUUCUAGUAAUUUUGAGGCCCAAAUCCUACAUGGCUCAGGCCCAUAAGCUCCAAAUCGGUUUUGGGCAAUGUUGUGGGUCCAUUUUGGGCCUUGGUUUGGGUUCCUUGCAGCCCACCACGAAUCCAUAUGGAUUCUUGGUGGUGAAGCAAGCUGAAAAAACUGAAGGGAGUGAGCUAGCCUUGUAAGUCUAAGAGAAGUAAUGAGGGGUGUGGUUCCCAUGCUGAUGAAGGGAAUUUCGGUGCUGAAGGGGAAGGAACCCAGGAGGCUCAAAUGCUAAGAGGGGUAUGAGUAUAAAAGGUGAGAGGAUAGGAGAGCAAAGUGACCUUUGGACAUUUUUGAAGAGGGGAAAUUCUGCUGGUGAGAAAAACAAAAGGUCAGUAGCAUCUUCUGAGUUGAGAGUGUGGAGGAAGCUUCAGCACUGUGGUUUUUUUGAAGAGGAGAGUGACAGCCUCUCAGUUUUGGAAGUCAUCAUCGGCAUGCACGGAUCAUAUUUGGUGGAGAUUCUAAGGUAAGCACGCUGAAUUUUCUUUACAUAUAGUUUAUCUUCCUCGUCUUCAUAUGUUUUUUCUCCUUCCUAAUCAUCUUUUCUUCCCUUUGAUAUGAAGAUUGUAUUGCUUGGGUGUGGAUAAUAAAGGCCACACAUGAUUGUUGUUGUUUGCUUCCUUGGUCACUUAGGAACUUUCUGACCGAAUUAGGGAUUUUAUACCAACCGGAUGGACCGAUUUGGAACCGGUUCAACCGGUUCAGCACCAUAGCUGGCUGCCUCUGUCAGCCAUGAGGAAUACCUGCAUUUCUUUGUUUGGUUCUCACUCAUCCGAGCUCGGAAUUGAGAACCGUUUCUUUUGUUUGCUUCCUUAAUCACUUAGGAACUUUCUGACCGAAUUUGAGAUUUUUUACCAACCGACUGAACCGGUUUGGAACCGGUUCAACUGGUUCAGCACAAUAGCUGGCAGCCUCUAUCAGCCAUGAGGAACACUUGCCUUUCUUUGUCUGGUUCUCACUCAUCCGGGCUUCCUUAAUCACUUAGGAACUUUUUGACCAAAUUUGGGAUUUUUUACCAACCGGAUGGAUCGGUUGGGAACCGGUUCAACCGGUUCAGCACCAUAGCUGGCUGCCUCUAUCAGCCAUGAAGAACACCUGCCUUUCUUUGUCCGGUUCUCACUCAUCCGGGCUCGGAAUUGAGAACCGUUUCUUUUGUUUGCUUCCUUAAUCACUUAGGAACUUUCUGAUCGAAUUUGGGAUUUUUUAUCAACCGGCUAAACUGGUUGAGAACCGGUUCAACUGGUUCAGCACCAUAGCUGGCUGCCUCUAUCAGCCAUGAGGAACACCUGCCUUUCUUUGUCUGGUUCUCACUCAUCCGGGCUCGGGAUUGAGUGUCAUUUCUUUUGUUUGAAUCCUCACUCAUUUAGGAGUUUUCUAGAAAAAUUUUGGAAUUCUUCUCAAUAGGUUGUACCAGUUAAGAACUAGUUCAACCUGUUCUGUUGGAGGACUUUAGGUAGCCCUUGAUUUUGGCAUUUUUCGAGCCCUUAUCCAUGGGGGGCUCAAACCCAUUUGCUAUAGGGCACUUGUGAGCCAUCUUGAAGGUUUAAGUCAGUGUUUGAUUUCAGUUAGUAUGGGCAAUUUGGAAGUUAUGGGUGGUGUGGUCUAGAUGAGUCUAGUUCGAUUUGUAUGACAUUUGGGGAGUCUCUUACCUCAUUUCAACCAGCUAUCUUCCUUUUUGGCACAAGCUUUGAUGCUUGAUUUUGAAUACAUGUUGCGUGAUUGACUCACCCUCUGCUGCAGCGCUUGGCUAGAGACCACAGGUACGCAACGUUGGCUUUGGUUGUUGAAUUCAUAUGCAUGCAUGGUGCUUAAUCUUGAAUGUUUGUUAUGUGUUUAUCUGUGUUUGGCUGACCUUUUAUGCAGCGCUUGGCUAGGGACCACAGGUACGCACCCAUUGUUUUAUUUGGUUGAAUUCAUAUGCAUGCCAAAUACCAAUUAGGAUUGUGUGAUUCAUGACAUCUAUUUAGCCUAAGGUUUCAUUUGACCUUUGACCCAUAUGCUCCCACAUACCCAAUUCAUUAGUAGAGACCGAGUUUCGGGCCUAGAGGGGUGCUACCUCGCAUGAGGUACCUUCCCAACGGGUAACCUGAUCCCCGGACCCAGAAUCUAGUUUUCGUAGACCGCUUUUUCCAUACUGGGGUCAUUAGGGGUUUUUGUUCUUACUUAAUUUUCCCCAUUUUAAAAACAAAAAUAAAAAGUAAGUGGCGACUCCAAACAACAUCGUUCCUCACCGGGGGCGGGUUUUUCAAAACUGGAAAACACCAACUUUUUCAUUUCUUUCUUUUCUUUUAAAAGCGAGUCGCGUCGGUCCGGUGGAUCGGGUGAGGGUCCACAAUUAAAUUAAUUAAUUAAUUUAAUAAAAUGGAAAAUGGGUGAAAAGGUAAUUUUAUGAAUAAAUACCCUAGGUAUAAAUUAGAAUUUUGUUCUUCCUAUUCUUUUCUGAAUCGCGUUCUUGUUCGUAGAGAGUUCCUGAGAACGUAAUAUUGGAGUCGGAUUUUAGAGUUUGAAGAACAGAUCUUUACAGGUAAGAUUCUAACCCUUGGAUUAAUAUUUUAGAUUCAUAAGUUAAUUUUAAGCACAUUAGAUAUUUUUUGGAAAACCCAAAUCUAGAUUAGGGUUAGUUUUAUUUUUAUUUUUUUUUAAUUCGUUCUAAUAUCAAAAUAGUGAAAAUUUAAGAUUUUGAUUUAUUGUUGGAAAUUGGGAAAUCUUAAGUUUUUAGAUGAAAAAAAAUAUAUUUGGAAGAUUUCAAUUUAGACUAGGGUUAAUUUAUUUUUAAAAAAUAAAUAAAUAAAUAUAUUGUUAAUUGUGGCUUAAGGGAUUAGAAAAAUAUUAAAACAAUUUGAUUUAACAAAAAAAAAAAAAAAACGCGUGUGCACUAGAAGAUAGAAAAAUUGUGGGGAAAAAAAUUUGUUGCCUGCGUGUGGGAACUGGUUAGUUUUAGGUUAAUAAAUAAGAUAUAGUAAUAAUGGUUUAAUGUAAUAAAUAGAAUGAGGUAGUUGCAGGGGGUGCAAUCCAUGUGUGCUGGAAGCAUGACUCAAAAAGUACACCAGCCUAAGAAAUAAAAAAAUAAAGCUUGAAAUAGCCAAGACAUUGUUACUACUUAAAUAACUAAUGACCUCCAAAGAAACUUCUCUUACAUGUAGAAACGUCAACAAUAAAUAUAUAUAUAUAUAUAUAUUAUAGAAUUUUAUAAUGAAAUAAAAGUGCAUUUUAAUUAAAUUAGUAAUGUGUUAUUAGAAACAAAUUGGGAAUUUAUUAAUUUAUUUAAAUAAGGAAUAUAUUAGUUAAAUUAUAGAUAAAUAGUAAUAGUUAUUUCUCUUAUGUUAUAUUAGGUGAAGAUUAGAUUUUCCAGAAUUAUUUUUCUCUCAAGUUUUCAAGGACUUCUUUUGAGGUAAGGAAAAUUAAUGCAGUUAUUAUUAUUUUUUUUAGAAAUAAAUUUUUAUAUACAUCAUUUGAAAAUAUUUUGAAUUAAUAUUCGUUUUAUGCAUCGAUAAAAUAUGUUUUGUAUGAAAAGUAUGUUAGAACUUUAUAUUUUGUUUACAAUAGAGAAAUGUGGAGAUAUUAUGUUUUGCAAAUUCGAAUAAUUGAAAUAAGUGUUUGACUCUGGUUUGUUUGGCCCUUGUCAACGGGAUAUAAUAGUUGACCUUUACAUUUCUUGGUGGGGAAUGUAAUUGAUUUGGAUCCCAACCUCUAAGGGUUUGGUUAUAGGUUACUAGUACUAGUAGUGUUUAGUUCCGUUCACCUUAAAGGAACAAUUUGAGGCUAGCCACCUAUUCGAAAAGUCCCACCUAAUUGGGCUCCAUUUGAUGCUUGAUGAUCAGAGUAAAUAAAUAAUUUGAAUGUUUUGAUCGAAUUUGAUAUGAAAAUGCUUGAAUCAGAAAUGAAAGUGUACAAUUAAAAGUUUUGAAUGAAUUGGCAAAACUGACUCGAAGGUUUAUAAAAAUAAUUAGUUAUAAUAUCUCCUAUUUUGCAAGUGAACUUGAAAUAUUUGAUCCAUGAACUGCAUUAAUGUUCCUUAUUAGGCUUUGAGCUCAUUCCUAUUUGUUGAUUACAUUUUAGGCACCCUUAGUUCGAGCGAGGAGUGAUGGCUAGGUCGGGGAAUGGUCAUCAUUAGGAUUUUGAUUAGGAUGUUAUUUGGACAUUGUUAGCUUAUAAGUUUAUGUUCAUUUGGAUUAUUUGGUUUUUGGAAGCUAUUUAGAUAUUGAGCUUUUAAAUAUUUUUUUUGAUAAGUUUGAAGUUGAGAUUUGGAGAUUAUGAAAAUUUGUUAGCACUUGAUUUAUUUGAGUUUGCAAUCUAUUUGGAUAAUGGAUUUUGGUUGAUGGAUGCUUAGUUUUAAAGUUAAGUUUGAAGAUUUUAGAAUUUUGUUCUGCUACUCUGAACAGGGUUUUGGUAAUUGAUUACUUCCAGUUACAAUAUGAUUGUUUAGGUCAAGUUACACUUUAAGCCUUCGGGUUUGAGGUGUGAAAUGACCGUCAUGCCCUUGGAGUGGGUCUUGGGGCAUGACAGAGUGGUAUCAAAGCGCUAGGUUGUGAUCUUGAUGGGAACUUGUUUAGGUUGUCAAACAUACUUUUUUUUUUUUUUGUAAAUAUCAAAAAACAGUUUUCAAAUAUUAGUUACACGAGGGUACUACUUGUGUGAAACCUCGAAACUUCAUUUAUGGACAUUACUUACUUUAUUUGUGAACAUUAGAGUAUGACAUUAUGUGCACCUUUGAUAUAGUGGUGAUUGUACCUUAGGUACUACCUUAAUCUACCUUAGGUAUUACCUUAACCAACCUUAGGUACUACCUUAGUUAAACUUGGGUACUACCUAUGUGAAGCCUCGAAACUUCAUUUAUGGACAUUACUUAUUUUAUUUGUGAACAUUAGGGCGUGACAUUAUGUGCACCUUUGACAUAGUGGUGACUAUACCUUAGUAACCCUUAGAUACUACCUUAAGUACUACCUUAAUUAGACUUGGGUACUACUUGUGUGAAGCCUUGAAACUUCAUUUGUGGACAUUACUUACUUCAUUUGUGAACAUUAGAGUAUGACAUUAUGUGCACCUUUAAUAAGUGUUACUAAGGUAGUACUUAAGGUACAGUCACCACUGUAUGAAAGGUGCACAAAAUGUCAUGUUCUAAUGUUCACAAAUGAAGUAAGUAAUAUCCACAAAUGAAGUUUCGGGGCUUCACACAAGUAGUACCCAAGUCUAACUAAGAUAGUACCUAAGAUUGGUUAAGGUAGUACCUAAGGGUUAAUAAAGUAGUACCUAAGGUACAGUCACCACUAUAUCAAAGGUGCACAUAAUGUCAUGCUCUAAUGUUCAUAAAUAAAGUAAUGUCCAUAAAUAAAGUUUUGAGGCUCCACACAGAUAGUACCCAAGUUUAACUAAGGUAGUAUCUUAGGUCGGUUAAGAUAGUACCUAAGUUAAAUUAAUGUAGUACCUAAAGGUUACUAAGGUAGUACCUAAGGUAUAGUAAAUACUAAAGAAUAAUAAAUAAAAAUAAAUUAUCUUCGUAUUUUGGGUAGGAGUUAGGGAAAAAUGUAACAGAAUGACAAGAAGACAAGACAUUUUUUUUUAUGAAGCCGAUAUUUUGGAUUUCAGCUUUCCGUUUGAGUACGCUUUGCUAUAGCAAAAUCAAAAUCAUAGUUGCGCCUAUUGAAGCCAUCUUUUAACUGGACAUUCCUAGGAUGGAGUGUUCCAUUUGGCUGUUGAGAAAGUAGACAAGAAAGAAAAAUGCAGGUUGGAGUUUUGGAUUAAGGGUUUCUUUUCUCAAAUUAGAUAAAUUUUUGGAAAUUUUAGAUGGGUUUUAGGAUCGUCUAGUUGAUAAAGCCGAGAGAGAAAGAGAAAGAGAGAUAUGUUCCCAACCUUUGAGAGGAAGAAGUUUUAGAUUUGGGAAAUUUGAAAUGGUUCCCGAGUUGAGUGUUUUUUGUGUUUCAAAUUUGAGAAGUUUCAAAUUUUUGAAAAAUAUAUAAAUAUGCAAAUUGGAGUUUUAAGGGUUUCUUUUCUAAAAUGAGAGAAAUUUUGGAAAAUUUUACCAAGGUCUCUCCAGUUCAGCUGGGUGAGGAAGUGAAGAAAGAUGAGAGAAAAUGUUCCCAAAUAAGAGAGAUGAAAAGUUUUUGAUUUAGGAAAUUAGAGGUGUUGUCGGGACUGGUGUUUUUUGAGAACUUUUAGAUUCCAAUUUUUGUGUUUUGUUUAAUUUCAGAAGGUCUUGUUGACAUGGAAGCUGAUUUGUUGUUGACAUGAAGACAUUGAGGGGCAAUCUGGGAAGAGAAAAUGUAAACAUGACAUAGUGCACGAGAAUGAUAUUAUUUUCUCCAUUAAUAAGAAAAUCUCAUAUUUCAUAUACUUAAGUUUCGAAAAGCAUGUAAUUUUCAAAUCACAGGUGAAAAACACAAGUUUCCCAUAAAUAUGCUUAAAGCAUGUUUGAUAACAAUUUUGAAAAAUAAUUUUUGACAACGGUUAUUUAAAACUGUUUUUUGAUGUUUACUAGAAAAAGAAAAAAAACAUGUUUGACAACCUCUAAUAUUUUAAACCUAUCUUUAAUAUUUUUAAAAUAAUUUUUAUAUCUAAUAUUUUAUUUUUAAUAAUUCUAUAUAUUUGUAUAAUUAUUUUUUUUAAAUAAUCGUCAAAAAAUAAGUGAAAACAAGUAAAGAUGAUAUCCGAAAACAUUAUAUUUUUUAUUUUUAAAAACAGAAAACAAUUUUUCUUAUUCUCAAACAGGUUUUCCUGUUUUUUACUCUAAAGAAGAAAAAACUAUUGUCAAACAAUCCCUUAGAUACUUGUGUUUUAUCAAGUGGUGAAAUAUCUUCGUAUCAAUUAUAUAACAACUCAUAAGAGUAGGAGAAAAAGAGACAAUUUUAAAAGCAAACAAGUGGAAAUUAUUAGAAAAUAGGCGAUUAUAUAUAUAUAUAUAUAUAUAAGUUUUUAAUUCCGUUAAUUAGCAUAUUUAUAAUUUUAUUUAUUUAUGUAUAAAAUUUAAUUUUUGGAGAAAUUUUAGCUAUUCAAUCAAAAAUUAAAAGAGUAAAUGUAUUUACUCUAAGCCUCAUGGUGCGUGAAUUAAACCAACCUUCAAAGAAAAAUAGAAAAAAAAAAAGUGAAUCAUAAUAAAAAUGAGAGUAGUCAAAAUCAAAAGGAGAAUCAAAUUUGAUUUCCAUAUUAGUGAUUUUUUUAAUUAUAUUAUCAUUGUAAAAAAUAAUUCAAAUGCAUUAAUAAAUUGAAAAUAAAAUUAACUCUUAUUCUCAUUUUUUAUUCCAAUGUUUCAAAUAUAACUACCAUUUGUUGAUUAGUGUUGCCAAAUCCAAAUAAUUGCAUAGCAAUACAAAGAAAUAGAAUUGAACAUAUAAAACACAAGUUUCUCAAUAAAUAAAACCAUAGCGAAAGUGUAGGUAUAUGAAUAACACCAAUUUUAUCAUACAAUCUUAGCCAACACUUUUUUUUUUAUAGUAUCAAAAAGCUACUAAAAAAACAUUUCUUUUCAUCACCAAGAAAUUACUUUUUUAAAAUGAAAAAAAUACUUUCAUUGAAUGAAUACAUAAUUCGUAUUUGGAAUAAUUUCUUAUUCUUAGUUUUAAUUAAAAGCUAAAAGUCGCAAUUUUUUAAAAAUAAUAUUGAUAUUAUAAAAAAUGUAUUAAACAUAAAAUAAAAUAAAAACACAUUUUUGAAUAAGUCAAAAUAAAGCUUUAAAAAAAAAACAUUUUCUUUAAGUUAUUUUUUAAGUUAUAAAUUGUUUAAAUAAAAUGAGCGGCAUAAAAAAAUUUUAUUGAGCUUUAAAAAUGGUUUUUGACUACUCAAAAUCCACCAAAUUGGAACCAUAGUCCCCAAUAACUUGGGGCCAGAAAAAUUGGCAGAAGGUAUCAGUUAAAGUUCAGUACAUGCUACAUGCAUCCUGUUAAGGAACAUAAAAGCAAUUCCACAAUGCAUCACAUUUGGAGUUUUGGAUUUGGGUUUCUGAACUAAAAUGAGAGAAAUUUUGGAUUAUUGAGAACAAAGAAAGAUGGGAGAAAGCUUCCAAAUGAGUAAAUUGAAAACUUUUUUUUUUCUGAGAAGUUACAGAUUCAAAUUUUAGUGUUUUUUUCUUAAUUUUAGUGGUAUGGGAUGAUGGUGAGCUAGAGGCACAAAGGGGCAAUUUGGGCAUAGAAGAUGAAGCCAACUCAUAGUGCACAAAAAUGAUAAUACUUUUCAUAUUAAAAACUGAUUUUUAUAUUAAAUUUUAUACAUCUAUUUAAAAACAAUUAAAAUUUUCUGCAAUUUUCAAUUAUAUUAUAAGUACUGCCUCUCAUGGGUUGAUACUACUAGUGAGUGCAUGAAAUUAUUAGGGAGAAUUGUGUUUUGGGCCCAGCUGGGCCCAAAAAUUAACAAUUGGUCCAUAGAUGUUACAAAAUUAAUAGAAAGACUAUGAGAUAUUAACUGACCAAUAUGCCCUUCAUUAUUUCCAAGUUAGAUGGUUGUAAAUUAAAGUGGUUUCAUAGGUGUUAAACUUGAAAUGCCAUGUCAUCUGACUGAAAAAUCUGAAAUAAAUGGCAAAAAGGGUAUCCACCCUCCUACCCCUUUCUCUCCCUCCAUAAACACCAUGGUCAACAACAAAGCCAACUGUGAAUGUCCCCCAAUCGAUUUCUUCAACAGCCGAGGAUUGUGAGCAACUCAGAAAAGCCUUUGCAUGUAUUUUAUCAUCAUCAUUCCCAAAUCAAAAUGAGAGUAGGUGUGAAUUAUUUUUUCUCACAUUUUGAUUUGAUCAUGUUGGUUCCUUUGAUGAUGUGGUGGAUGUUUGUUUACUGGAUCAAUACAAGGUUUGAGGAAAGACAUCCGUUUUGAUCUCGUGUUGGGGUGUUCUUAAAAAAAUUUGAACUUAAUAACAGCGUGUUUUUGGGUGCAAGGUGGGGUAUAAAUGAGGCUUUGAUCAUAUCCAUCUUGGCUCAUAAGAAUGAAGCACAACCUAAGUAAAUUGAAGAAACUUACAAUUAAUUUGUUGGAAAAGAUCUCCUAAAAAAUGGCAUUUCACCUGUUUGAAAAUUCUUCACUUUAUAAUCUGGUUAUUGGGUUUAUAUUCUAGAGAAUAAAUGGGUAUGGUGCAGGCGGUGAGCUGUGGGGACUAGUUAGUGCACUUUUGAUGAAUAAGAAACUAAAUUAGGUUUCAUUUUCCCCCUUUUCACUGAGCCAUGACAUUGGGAAGUGGUUAACCGACCCAUAUGCACUCGUUAAGUUGUACUUAGGUUGAUUUCCUGCAACUGUACAAGACAUUUACACUAAGUAUACAAGGUCAAUGUACUAAAUGUACAAGGGUGUACAAGGGUGUGUAUCUUAAGGGUUUUCAAGUGAUUUUGAAGAACUUACUCAUUUACUUUUUCCAAUCGUGGGGGACAUUCCUCACACAUAUUGCUUGACAACACACUCAUUGCACGCAUUUCAUUUGAUGUCUACCAUGUUAAUUCAUUCUAUUAGCUCCCCUACUAAUAAUGCAUAUGAACCAAAACGAGUGUUAACUUUUUCCUCAUUUUUCCUUAUCCAUGAGAGUGGAACCAUUGUUUUCCCACCCAUAUGCAUUUGUUCGGUCGUCCCUAUAUUGGAUUUCGUUACUAUACAAGGCAUUUACACUAAGUGUACAAUGCAAAUGUGCUAAUUGUACAAGUGUGUACAAGGCUACCUAUCUUGAAGGAUUUCAAAUUUUUUUCAAAAAAUUCCUUACUCAUUUCUUGUUUCAUAGGGGGACAUUCCUUGCACUCAUUCCUCAUUUCCCUUCGUACACAUUCAUUGGAAUGUGCUAGUACACUUAUGAUGAAUGGGAACCUAAAUUGGGUUUCAUUUUCCCCCUUUUCACUGAUAGAAAGUUAUGUCAUAUGCUUAUUGGAAAUUCAAUAAUGGAGCAAUGAUGUCAUGUUUUAUCAUGCCUCAUUGAGCAUUGAAUUUUACAUAGCCUCCAAAAUUAAGUUCUUGUAGUUGUAAAGUUUCCAUUAGUGUCUACAUAACCAUGCAUGCCUUCAUGAUGUUGUCCGUGUUUACACCUGCAAAGGCAAUGGUCUGUGUGUAACCUAGUGUGUUGUUCUUCAACUUGUGCCUAGGAUGAUGGUGAUUACUACUCAAAAAGUGCUAUUUGAUAGCCUAUAAUUAAUCCUUUUAAACACUUUUGAGUAGUAGUUUUGGCCUUUUAACUCAAUUGGCAUGUUAAGGACCCUUGAAAGCAAUUUUGAUCACUUUGUGUAAGUUUUGGUGUUUUUGUUAGUAUUUUGAUCACCAAAGCAAGUCAAGACUGAGGAGAGCUAUGAGGAAUCUUGGGCAAAGCUUAGAAGUCAUUUGCCAAGAGUAAAUCCGGAUUGCAAGGAGAAAAAGCAAAGAGAAUCUGCCAUAAAGCCUAUUCUUGAUGACAGUCGUAGCAGCCACUUUUGGAGCACUUUCUGAAGUCCAAAUGAUGCAUGCUAUAUACCAUUUCAAAGCUCAGGAAGUCAACAAUCCAAUGCUUCAAACGGUGUGCAAUUCGGAGUUGAAAUGAAGAAGUUGCAGUCAUUACAAGCCAAUCACUCUGAGCUGAAGGAAGCAUUUUGCAAAGUGUUGCGAAAUCACCCUUUUGUUGCGAAGUGAUUUCGCAGCCUUUUUGAACAGUGUGAUGUUUCUCCUUCUGACGAUACCCGAUUUAUGCCACGAGAAGGAAGCUGGGAACCUCAAGGUGGAAGCCAACUUCGCAGCCCUGUGAAGAUAGCUUGGUGUUGCGAAAUUAUUUCGCAGCCCUCUUGAGUGUCUGCGAAAUCUCGCAGACACCAUUUUUCUCCUGCGAAAUGGUUCCUGAAGCCUCCCGAUAUUUGCUACCGACAUUGGGAGAUAUUUUCCAUUAGAUUUUUGUUGUCUAAAUCCCAAAAUACUCCUUGUAAACCACCAAUUACAUGAUUCCUUAGUUUUUAAGUUAGUAAAAAGACUAAAUAUCUAUGUAAUAAUUAGUUUUAAAUUAUGUACAUAUAUAUACCUCUCGGGAGCCUGUUCUCAGAGAGGAGUUCCUUCUGUAAAAGUUUGGGUAAGCAAGUAAAGUCUAUUUUCUUUCUACUGUCUUACCUUCUCACUUUGUAUUUUCAUUUUCUUACUAAGUUAUGAACUCUCUGAGGAGUUUUCCCCAGAGAAUGAGUAACUAAACCUCUAGUUCCUUGGAGCUAAGGUUGCCGGGGAAGGUUCCAAGUGCAAGAAUGCAAAGCUCUGUGGUUUUUGCUAGUAAUGUAGAGGAAGUGAAAUCCUUUAGUGAUUUCUGUGUUUUUAGUUAACUUAAAACACCUUAGAGUCACCUGGGCCAACACUUGGUAAGGCAAGUGAUUUCCAACCAUGGAAAUGCACUAGUUUACCCCUUGCGAGCCUCUGGGAGGUGACUUCAAGGUAGGAUUUUCUAGAAUAGCCAACACUUGAUAAGCUUUUGGACUCCAAGGAGACAUCCAUUAGUUAUCUCUUGCGAGCUUUUGACGGGUAAUCCAAGGUUAAAGAUCACCUUGAAUGGUUAAGGCUUAGUGAGAGGCAUGAACCAUUGCAAGUUGCAUCAGUGAGAGAAUUAAAGUGAAAUCUAAUUGAAGGAGUCUUUGUACAACACCGGUUAGAGAUUUGACUAUAUGUUGAAUCUCUAACGCGAGAAAAUGAACCAUCUGACCGGAGCUAUGUCUUUUGCAUGAGAAACCACCCCAGUGAACCUAAAUCUCCAAGGAAUGUUUUCUUCCUAAAUUAUUCCAAACUUCUGUUGUGUUAGUUAGUUUAAGUCUAAACCUUUACCAAUCAAAGUUUGUGUUUUACUUCUUAAGCUAACUAUGAAAUGAAACAAAACCAAUUCACUUGGAAUUGGUAUCAUUGAGAGCUUGUUAAUCUUUCCCAGUGGACGAUCCUAGAGCCACUAUACUAUAGUAGCUUUUUCUUUGCUACCCUAGUAUAUGGUGUUAUAGGUUAUAAAUUUUGUUGAUUACUCCCUCAAUCAAGGAGCACCAGCUGGACACAAAUCAGCUGAGACACCAAUUGGGCACGAAUCAGAUGGAUUUUAAAAUAGGUUGUUUGUAGGUUUAGCAUAUCACCUUGAUGCUUUGGUUUGUUAUUUGUAGAUUGAUGGAUGGACCAAGCUUGGUUUACAAGCUCGACCAGAUUGUAGCAUCACACCAUGCCCAAAUUGUCCUAAUUGAGCUUAUUGAAGGGUGCUAUAAAGUACUGAAAACUUCUAAAACAUUGUAAUGUACAUUUGUUUAUUAAAGUUAUAUUCUUUCAAACCUCUUUUCUUCCUAUGUUCAUCAUCCUUACCUUCGAUGUCACAUAAUGUUGACUAGCAUGACAAACUAAUUUCGAGUGAUAUAGUAACUUCAAAAUGCCUUGAUUUAUCUAAGUGUUGUAUGUGUGCUUAAAAAACAGCAAGAAAACAUCCAAGUUGUGACAGUAGGCCAUAUUAAUUUAUUAUGACUCAGUUAUUGCUACAGUUUCAAGGCACCUUGGAGGAUGCGAGAGUGACAUUACCCUCUUUGUUUUGUUCGCUUUUAGAUUGAAAUUUUGGUUCGAAAGACCGAGAACUUUGAUGAGUUGAUGGUUACUGCAGUUGAGGAAAGGGAAAUUGGAGACUACAAGGAACAAAACUAAAUUAAGAUGUUCUGAUCAUACUUGUUUUAGGAGUUUUUAAUUAAAUAUUUAAAAAAAAAACAAUAUCAAUUGAUAUACAAAAUUCAUAAUGUUUUUUUAAUUAUUACCAUUACUUAAGUCUUCACAUUUGCAUUAUUAUGUGAGUUAUUAUGCACUCUUCGUCGCCUCCCACUCCUAUCAGAUGGGGCCACAAUCAUAGAACGCAAAGGCAACUGGUCAUAGACGACUACUUCUUCAUCAGCUGUUAGUUUGGAAUAACAACAGUUUAGUUAAAUGAAGGGGACUAUAAUAUGAGUUAUUAUGUACACAUUGAUGCAGUAAUGAAUGUCCCACAUACUGUUACCAAUAACUGUUGGAUGCCGAAUUGGAGUGUCUGGUACGUCUUCAGUGCCAUGGAAUGCCAUAUCAUCUCGGUCAUAGUCUGAAUGUUGUUCGACCUCGGGAAAGUCAUAGGCUGCAUAGCCUGAGUGACUAGCAGCAAGCAAAGGUCGACUUCUUUCCCUUCGGGCAUCCAAUCUAUGCAUCAAACCACGCAUGAUGCCAAGCUGCUGCUGAAUGGCCUUUUGAUAUGCAUUUAUUGCACGUUCUGCUGCAUAGUACUUCUCUAAUAUUUCUUGUGACAUGUUAACGAAUUGCUUGAAGAUAAAUUACUCUAAAAUAUUGAAGAAAAUAUUCAUAACCAGUGAUUUACAAUAUUCCAGUAAGUAAACCUAAUUGUAAUGGCAUUCAGACGGAUUUAAUUCGUAAAGUAACAAACAGUAUGCGUACAUGACUACUUGUCAGGCCACUCUCAUACUCCACAUGUGUGCAGGGCAAUGACGAAUCAUCAAACCCCUACAGUUGAGAACAUGACGCAUAUUAAGAACACAUAAACCUUGAAAGUAUUCAAUUUGCAUGUCAUCAAAUUACAUAAUAAAAUGCAUGUAGAGUAAAUGACUACCUCGCCAUGUCCGAAACUACCAAACUCACUGAUCUCAGCAGCUAAGCGCUCCUUUAUCAACUCAUCUGACCAUGAGGAGAAGAGGGGCACUGUCAUAGGAACAUGAAUGGAAGGAAUCUUGAAUUUAAUUAUGUAUUGGAGCUGCACCAUGGAAAUAAACAUAUGUGCAUUUGUUACUUGCUAGUAGUGAUGUUAACAAUUAAAAAGUGGCCAAGUAAUCAAUGUAAAAGAAGGGCAAUACCUAGAGAAAGAGAAUGCAACCAUGUACCCACACACUGUUUCGUUGCUUAAAUCGUCUUAUACCCUCAACAAGCUGGUCAACAAAAAAUUGGCCCCAAUUGACAUUGUUUCUAAAACCAUCUUCAUGGAUGGUAUGCCACAAGUUUUGACAUCCAUCUAUCAUUGAGGUUGAUGCCAAUAUUGUCGCACAUGCGUAGUAAAGGAAGCAUCUACGAAACUCCUUCCCGACAGGUAAGUUAAGGAGUCUCUCCUCACAAGUGUUGAGUGUACCGAAUGGAUGAUCAAAUGAGGUUGAUGCAAUUUGUAGAAUCCAUCCGGUUGUCGGGAGGCCAAAUACAAGGCCCACAUCAGCAGCUGUCAGAUCAUAGCUUUUGUCGGAUAAUAUGUCUAUGCGUUUGAAGCCAACGUUAAAAUGGUCGAUAAGCCAUAGACAUAUAUUAUGUCGUAUCUCCUUGCAAUUUAAGUUUAGAAGACCUCCAAAUUGAAGGUCUCGAACCACUUCCAAUUUCUCAACUGGGAACAUGUUGCAUAGUUUUAGGAAUCUUGAAGAUGAACAACGUGUGAACAAUCUGGUGGCCUGCAUUAGAAGUGUGGGAGAUAAUUAGUAUCUUACACAUGAAUUUUAGUAAUCAACAAAAAAAUAAGAAAGUCAAUAUGAAUACAUAAACGUGGUAAAAAAAAAAUACAAUUGAAUGAACUAACAAACAAAAUAAUGUGGAUGAAUAAUUUACUAGUGGAUGUUUAUGUAAUAAUGAAUAUGUAACACCCAUAACAAGUAACUGUGUUAAGUAGGUUAAAAUAUCAAGUAUCCGAAAUAAGUUAUGAAAAUUAAAAACCAAGAAAUAAUGCAAUACCUCCGCAGUGGCCAUUGAAGAAUGAAUUUAUUGUUGAAUGCUUGAACCUUGGAAUAACCGGUAACUUCAAAUGGGUGCUAUAGUAGUUAUCGCUAAGCUGGAAAGACUAAUAAUAAAGGGAAAGGUCAUUUGACUAUUCAUACCAUUAAUCAGUUGGAUAAAUUUGGUAAUGGUAUACCAUAUUCAAAUUUAUAAGGUAAAAAUAAAUAAAAUAAAUAAAAAUAUGGCAAUUUAGGAAAGCGUUAACAGUUUGGGCGCAAACACGUGUAUGAACUACUAUCCUACUGCCAACUGAUCAUAUAAAUUACUAGAUAAUAACUGGAAUGGUUACAACGUGCGUAACAAGUAUAUCUCAUUGAAGACAAAUUGAAAGACAAUUUUUAGUACAUGUUAGGAAUUCAUGACACAUUCAAAUAGGUGCAACCAAAAAUGCUUGAUAAUGUAGACACACUGAUGGAAUUAAAUAACAAGUGAAAAGAAACCACAUUCAAAUUGCACUUUCAAUUAAUUAGGUUAAUCAAAGCAAUUGUAAAUCAUGAAAAGAACAAAAUAGUGCAUCGUGCCUAUAAAGAGGCCAAUACAUAAGAACGAAAAUCAACAACCCCAUACCAUAUACCCUACAAUAGAAUGUAUGGGAUGAUACAAAAUAUGAGAAUCGUACAAGCACAAAAAAGACACAUGUCAUGGCAACGGAUUAUUACAUUUAGAGUAGUUGUGACCUAUGCCAUUGCAUCGAGAGCAAUGAAUUGCUCUCUUAUGACUAAAUUGUGACUCAAUGCGUCUUUGGCGGGGUCUUCCUGGAGGAUGUCUCACAUGAGGGGGUUGGAGAGUAGGAAAGAAUUUGCCCGCACAAUCUUGCAAACUCCCAUCGUCACAAACUUUCGGCAUAUUGUGUGUUGGUAAUAGUUGAAUGAUUACUACCCAAUUAAUUAUAAUGGUUAAUUGGGUAGUAAUCAUAUUCAUUUAACCCAAUUAAUGGUUUUAAGCUAAUUAUAAUGGUUUUAAGCACCUUUGAGUAGUAAUCAUAUUCAUUUAACCCAAUUAAUUCAUUAAGGACCUUAGUAAUUGGUUUUAACCAUUUUGUGGCAAGUUUACAUGUUUUUAUCAGCUUAUGAAUCAAUUCAAGCAUGCCAAAUGAUGGAGGAGCUACUUGGACAAGUUAUGGCAAAGCUUUUGGAAGCUCAAAUUCAUGAAGAACCAAGCUUUGGAACUCCAUAUCCCUUUGCCAAAGUCGUUCAAAGUAUGCAAUGAAAGAACAAUGGAGAAGAGGAAAACAAAGUGAAAAAAUCAGAGGACAGCAGCUGCAAUCUUCUUUCGCACUUUUGGAGCACUUCCCGAAGUCCAUUUUUUACAUGCUAUAUACCAUUUCAAAGCUCUGGAAGUCAAAAAUCCAACGCUUCAAACCGUGCAUGAUUUGGAGUUGAAAUGAGGAAGAUAUGGCCUUCGGAAGACAACUGCUCCAGGUUAUGCGAAAUUCGCAUAACACCUUCAAAAUUCGCAUAACCCAUGCGUGUUGCGAAUUUUCCUCUGCUUUUGCCGACUCCACUUUAGAUAUUUUCCUUUGUAUUUUGUGAUGUAAUUUCCUUUCUUAUCCUUGUAACUAACCAAUCACAAGCUUUUGCUUUUGUAAAGACUAUAUAAGAGGUGGAAAUCACCUCUUGGAAGAUAUAGAAGAUAUAUUACGUUUUACACUUAGAAUAGAUACAGAGCUCUCUCGUUUCUCCUGUUCUUUCCCAUUUCUAUUUUCUUAGUAGCCAAACAGCCUCUGAGGGCUUUUCCUUAGAGGAUGAUUGGCUAAGACUUUUAGUUUCUCAAAGUAUGGAUGUUAUGUGAUGGCUUGGAUGCAAUCCCAUGGAAAUUUCUCGCACCCGGAAGGUAAGGUAGACGUUUUUCAUUAAAGGUUCAUUAAUGCAAAGUUUGGUUUUUAUUUCCUUUGGACAACUUCCAACGGUCAAUACUUGAUAAGCUUUUGGAUUUCUAUCCAUUAGUUAUCUCCUACGAGCUAUUGGAAGGUGAGGUUUUCAAUUCCAAAUUUUGCAUUAAUCCGUUAGAACCAAUUUCAAUGGUCAUUAAAAGGUGAGUUUAUCACUUGGAAUGACUUUGAGUUGCCAAUAUUUGGUAAGCUUUUGGCUAUAGACCAUUAGUUAUCUCUUACGAGCCAUUCAAAGGAAGUCUAAGGUGAAUAACCAUUGAUGAAAUUCACUACCAUCUGUUUUGCCAUUUUAAAGGAUUAAAACUUGAUUUGCUAAAUCCAUACCGGUUUGGGAAGCAAGCAUCACCAUAGUUGCAACCCCAACGCGAGGAGCCUAUCCUGAGAUUUCCAAUUUGCAUAAGAGCCAGAGCAUAGCUAUCCUAUCUUUGAGAAACUUGUUUUUACACCCUUUCAUUUUAGUCUUUAAUGUUAGCUUAGAUUAGUUUAAAUCUUUCUAAAACAUUUACAUCUUCUUUUAAAGCUAACAUCCAUAAGAAAAUCACCUAUUUUCCUAAUUUGAAUAUCACUAGUGUUUGCGAAAACCCUUCCCAGUGAACGAUCCUAGAACCACUAUGCUAUAGUAGCUUGGCUACUUUAGUAAUAGUAUCUAAGGUAUAAAUUUUGUUGAUACGCCUUUAAAGUUAAGCUACCAUGAUUCGAAUCAUUGAAAUUGACCCAAGUAAAUCAAAUGUUGCAUAAAGACAUGAAAACAUGGGUCAAUAUACUCAUACACGUUGUGUCUCAGUGUGCGGAUGACAGCACAUACGUGUGAACAUGGCCAGCUGGACAUUUUCCAUGUCAUGCAAGUACACGUACGUUGAUUGAUAUCGACAACCAAAAUAAACCUCCCCAGUAAACACCUUAAACGUCUCCCCCAAAUAGGGCAACACACUAAUAGGACCAGACCUCGUGAUAUUUGACAUUAGCUUCUCUUCAAUUUUCGGUCCGACCACACUCUUCCACUUUUGUGUACCACGCAUAUGGGUGUCCAACAUGGCUACAAGCUUAUCCAUGUGCAUUAACAAUAACGUAUAAAUUGUUUGGUGACGCUUAUCUCUUAACCACACAUUGAAGGACUCUACAAUGUUAGUUGUCAUUUUAUCCCAUCGUUUUUUAAGAAACUUUGACAUUGCCCAAUGUUCAGGAUUGUUUUCCGCAACCCAUUUUGCGAGGCUGUCAUUGAAGCACACAAGUUUUUCAAAUGCCUCGUUGUGGUCUAUCUCCAACCUAGCAUAUGCAAUGUUGUCCAAAAGUAACAAAGCAUCUUCUUUCCCUUUUUUUCCUCUAAUGUUUUGCUUAUUCAAGAAGCUAGAAAAGUUUUCAUUUGCAUGUCAUAACAAUAUGCAUGAUUUCCUGUCCCGAACAACUCGGAAACACUACGCAAGAUUCCCUAAUGUCUAUCUGAUAUAAUAACAACUUCUUUACCAUCUAAGACUCCCUUUAAUUUCUCCAAAAACCAAUACCAGUCCUCAUAAUUUUCUGAACUAACCAUACCAAGGGCUAGAGGGAACAUUCCAUCAUCUGCAUCAUAUGCAAUGGUGGACAAAAGAGCCCCCUUAUAUGGUCAGCUUAGAUGGCAAGAAUCAAUAGUCAAUACUAGUCGACACCCCAUGAUGAACCCUUGAAUUGAAAAUGCAUGGGCAAUGAACAAUUGCAUGAAGUGACCUUCAUGGGAAGUGUACACAGCAAUUGUGCCGGGGUUGAUUUCCCUUAGCCUAUGGCAUAACCAAGGGACAAGCGUGUAGGACUCACGUGAAGCUCCAUAUGUGCGCUCGUUUGCCUUUUCUUUAAGGUGUCAUACUUGGUUAUAUGUCAAUUGAACUCCAUGAUCACGUUUAAAAUCCUUACAAAUUUGACAGGGAAGAUAGUCUAGAGUGGUUCUAAACACAUCUUCAACAACAACCGCGUCUCUCUUUGAAGAAACCUUGACCUUGGAUGAACACUCAUCCUAAGCGAUAUGAUUAUGAUUCACUUGGUCAGUAUGAACUCGCAAGAUGACAUUUCCCUCUACAACGUGAGUUGUUAUCUUUUAAGGACAACCCUCAACUGAACACUUUACAGACAUAUGCGUAAGGGAAUUUUUCUUGUACUUGUAUUCAAACCUUCCACCUAAUGACAUUUGGUAAAUUGUGUUGCGAAACUCCUUAGCAUUUUUAAAUGUAUGUCCCGACCCUAAUAUUGUCUCACGAAAACAAAUCGAUUCCAAAAGGGUGUACUCACUAUCUACACAAUGCGACGCAAAACCUAUUGAUAGCAUCAUAGUAUUAGGAAUUGCAUCGCAUGAUGCAUUAAAGGAAGGAAAUGGCGCAGGUGGACCUCUACAUUUACAUACAUUAACAUAAUUAGACUACGUGAUGCGUAAAAUUGAUAUUCACAAUAUUUUAAAUAGACAUUCAUGUUAAAGUCCACUACCCAAUUGCCAACUCUGUAUUCGGUAUAUUUGCUUCAAUGGCUUCCACACAGGGUAAGUCUACUAGGUAUACAUUUGCAAAGUCAUCACUGUGGGAAACCACGUUAUCCAAGUCAUCCUCAUCUUCUAAAUCUUGGAUGACUCUGGGGUUGAACUUGAGGGUUUAGUGCAUCUUCAUCGCAUCAAAGGAGAUGUCGAAUUUCUCUAAGAUUUUUUUGGUGAAUUCUUCAAAUGACAUUCCUUUAUAUAUGUGGAUACCUUUGCUUCUUCCACCCACGUAUUCCCAUUGCCCAUCAUUUUUUUGGACAAGUUUGCCUCCCACGAAAAUGUAACAAUAUAUCCUAUUAGUUGUGUCCAUCAACCUAUACAAACAUAGCACAAAUUUCAUAUUAUAGAACAAACAAUUGUGCAUAUUAUAGAAAAUGGGGUUGAUCUUCUCUCUCAUGUGGCCUUUUGCUUUCAAGUUGACAUUAUUAUUAGUCGCCAUGUCAAGUUUAUCAGCCAUCAUUUAUACAUAUACUUUUCCUUUUGUUACUUUACUUAUUCUGUUUUUUC